AUGGAGCUGCCUCGGCCCUCAAUCACCCGUCAAGCCGCGAGCGCGUGCGGGGGAGAAUACCUGGCACAGCGGUUAUCGCGAUGGGCCGUGGCAUCCUGGCAGGAGAGCGAGGAGGAUCUCGCCGCCUCGCCGGCCACGACCCACGGCGGAGCAUGGGCGCUGGGACGAUGGCGAGUCGAGGCUACGGCGGGGGGCGUCCCUGCAGGUAUCCGCGUUGCCGAUUCAGCGGCCUCGCUGGUAUUCCGUGCGGUAUUCUCCUCCACCUCCUCGCCUCCCGCGGAGGAGGCCGGAAGACGGCGGCGGGCAUCGCUUCCGCGGCGGCGCUGGUCUGAGGGCAGCAGGAGGGAGGGAGAAGGGGAGGCCCCUCCGCGCGUCUCCCGGCGCCUGGCGAGAGUAGGAGGAGCGGGCGCGCUGAGGGCAGGAGGCGCGCCGCCGAGGGUGGACGGAGGGGAAUCCAGCCGAGAGAAGGGGAUCGGGAGGAAGACGAGAGGUAGUGAGACAGGGGUAGGAUCGACUUUCGCGGGGGCCCAGCUGUCAGAGAGCAGAUUGUCAAAGUGUAAAGAAAUUAGGGGCAAAUGA
rnacentral:rRNA from 1 species